rnacentral:rRNA from 1 species
AACGAACGCUGGCGGCAUGCCUAACACAUGCAAGUCGAACGAGACCUUCGGGUCUAGUGGCGCACGGGUGCGUAACGCGUGGGAACCUGCCCUUAGGUUCGGAAUAACUCCCCGAAAGGGGUGCUAAUACCGGAUAAUGUCUUCGGACCAAAGAUUUAUCGCCUUUGGAUGGGCCCGCGUUGGAUUAGCUAGUUGGUAGGGUAAAAGCCUACCAAGGCGACGAUCCAUAGCUGGUCUGAGAGGAUGAUCAGCCACACUGGGACUGAGACACGGCCCAGACUCCUACGGGAGGCAGCAGUGGGGAAUAUUGGACAAUGGGCGAAAGCAUGAUCCAGCAAUGCCGCGUGAGUGAUGAAGGCCUUAGGGUUGUAAAGCUCUUUUAACCGGGAUGAUAAUGACAGUACCGGGAGAGUAAGCCCCGGCUAACUCCGUG